rnacentral:rRNA from 1 species
UAGGUGCCCCCGUCCGCGCUCCGCUCUCCCGGCCAACCUUUCCCGUCCACGCCUUAAGGAGCGUUGGCGACGGCGCGCCCGCGUCGUCGCGUUCGCGGCGGUGGAGGGAGCGAGCGCGGAGGAGGGAGGGAGGGAGGGAGGGCCUAAGGGGAGGAAGGGGCUCCGCUGCGCCGGCGGGGUUUAGGUCGGGGAGGCGAAGGGGCGCGGCCGAGCGAGGGAGUUUAUGCGAGGACGGGCGAGCCUCCUCUCCCAGACGGAGAGAGGACAGAGAACCGCCCUGUCCUACUACCCGCCCGGCUCGCGCUCGCCGCCGUCGUCCGCCGCCUCCACCCGCGUCGCCAGCACGGCCCGCCCUCCCCGCCCGCCCCAGCAGUGCGCCUACCACCGCCGCGGCCUCCUCGCGCCGCGCUCGCGCCGAGGGGCCGCCUCGCGAUGUCCCAAACGAGUACACCUGUUCGUCGUCGCACAGAUACCUGGUAAUAGUAGUCUCCCAAGGUCUUCAUCGUCACCUAGGUGUUAUUAUUUUCUAAAAGAAGUAAGCCUAAAUACACUUAUGUUCGCAUUCUCCAGGAACUCUUUACUUUAUCCUUCGGUGGUAAGAGAUAGAAGACACUACAAUCUUAGUUCCUUAGUACCACGUCGUUGAGUUUACGGUUAUCGAAGACUUUUUGGAAGGAAAAGCACCGGUUGUCUCUUCGUUCAGAGGUCAUUGUUGUUGAAAGAAGGACACUGGUCAUGACAGAGCCUAAUACCCAACAGGAUAGCCGGAUUUACAGUAGAACCGUCUCCGUCAUUGUUCCGUUUAGUCUGACCUUGUGGUUUUCUUAGGUCACCGUACACGUCAAAGUCAAUAGUUAAUCGAUCUUCACGACCUUCUAGACUAAGAUACUUCUACCCGGCUCGUUCACGUUUCACGAGGGAACGUCUGUGUUACAGCUACAAUGCGGUUGCCGCGAAACCAGCGUCAAUGGUCUUAGUUUUGGCGUAACCACGUAAUUUAGCUUCCGUAUUCUUGUGUGUUAGACCACCUCGUUAGUUGUACCAUUUUUUUCUCCUUUGAAUAUUACUCAGACUAAACAGUUGUCCUUCUGUGACCGUUUGAAACAACCUAUUACGUAAUCAAGCUUCCUCUAAUGUCGGUGAGUUACUCCUUAGUAGACUUGUUGAUACCUCGACAUGUUUGUCACUUAGACUGUUCCGCUAUUCGAAAAGCAGUCCACCCUCGUAACUACCAAACGUUCAUAGAAAAAGUUCACUGUGCUCACUGUGUUCACUAUUGAGGUUAAAUAGGAGAGACCCACGUCACCGUUUACUAGUUACCUCCUACAGGAAGUUCUUCCAUGUGACAGGUGAACGACGUGCAUAUUUGAUAUAGGGGGUUCGAAGGACGUUUCUCUAACUCGUCCGUUCGGGUCAUAGGCAAGAACUUAUAGGUCGACUUCUAAAAAGGCUAUGACUUUUGUAAUUCUUUCUAUGUUUUCUAGGAGUACGAGGGGUCGGUUCCGGACUCGAGCAUAUGAAAGGAAGUCGUCUUUGACAACGACUCCAUCAACACCUACGACGUGAACCAUUAAUGAGCACGAGACUCUACCUCAGAUGACUUGUACUACUUUGAUAUGUCGACCAUCUUCUGUGGGGAACGCUUAAACUUCUGCUUCUCCUUUCUCUCAAGACGAUGAACGACCUGUAAGAUUAACGAAGACCAUAAGUACCGCAACUCCUCCUAGUCGACAUGUUCCACACGGUCAGGGAACUAACGGGACGUCCGAUGCUGCACAAACUGUUCGAACUCUUCUUUAUGUUUUUUCACCGAGUUACCAGCUCCCGUCUGUCCUUCGAGUGGAAGCUGUACCAUUUGAGGUAUGACAGCCUUUAAGAACGGGGUACAAACCUGUACGUGGGAACCCGUUGAUGACGUUCCUUAUACCGCGGUCGCACCCCGAGUCUCCCGGACAACCUCUUUAACAACGUCCACAACUGAGCCGCCGCUCUUCUUGAACGCGGUUCUCACGUAUUCUUCCUCUUUGUUCACAAUUUAGUCUUUACCGGUCUGAACCGUCUAAUGUAGCUGUCCCGUCCAUCCCUACAACUCUCCUACUAUUUCCUACUAGAAGACCUUCUCGACCAAGACCUCAACUACAGGUCGAUCAACGUUUCGGAUGACGACCUCAACGACAGUCGAAAGAAUCCGGGUUCCUCCAAUGUUUCAACGACAUCCUCACAUCCAGUAACGAAAGACACAAUCCAGUCCAACUAGUAACCAACAUGACUCAUAAACAAAGAAACAAGGAAUUCCAGUCUCAAGGGGGAUAAAAACAAUUUGUUCACCAACUGUGAUAAAAAAACCCAGCUCAGCGGCACGAACAACAUCGUAUAAUAAACUCUUCUACGAACGACAUCCUAUAUCCCAUAUACCCUGUUCUUCACCACACCAGACAAUCCAAUCCACUCCCUCCGUGUAUCAACUUUAAGUAAGAACCAUGGUUUUCCCUCGCUUUACACCCUCUCAACAAAGGGGGAAAAAACCUAAAACAGUCAACAAUGUUAAGACAUUUAGUCCAGCCAGUCAUAUCAGUACUUGUAAAUAUAAGAAUAGGAAAACAAUAACGCAUGUGCUCUUUAUUUUGAGCAUCUAUUUUCAUCUCGCAUAUACAAAG